rnacentral:rRNA from 1 species
CGAACGGGUGAGUAACACGUGAGAAACCUACCCCGGAGACCGGGAUAACCGCCCGAAAGGGCGGCUAAUACCGGAUACCUCGAUCAGAUCGCAUGGUCAGAUCGGGAAAUGGAUUCCGCUCCGGGAGGGUCUCGCGGCCCAUCAGCUCGUUGGUGAGGUAACGGCUCACCAAGGCAUCGACGGGUAGCUGGUCUGAGAGGACGACCAGCCACACUGGGACUGAGACACGGCCCAG